AGUGAACGCUGGCGGUAGGCCUAACACAUGCAAGUCGAACGGCAGCACAGUAAGAGCUUGCUCUUACGGGUGGCGAGUGGCGGACGGGUGAGGAAUACAUCGGAAUCUACUUUUUCGUGGGGGAUAACGUAGGGAAACUUACGCUAAUAUCGCAUACGACCUACGGGUGAAAGCAGGGGAUCUUCGGACCUUGCGCGAUUGAAUGAGCCGAUGUCGGAUUAGCUAGUUGGCGGGGUAAAGGCCCACCAAGGCGACGAUCCGUAGCUGGUCUGUGAGGAUGGUCAGCCACACUGGAGCUGGGACACGGUCCAGACGACUACGAGAGGCAGCAGUGGGGAAUAUUGGACAAUGGGCGCGAGCCUGAUCCAGCCAUACCGCGUGGGUUAAGAAGGCCUUCGGGUUGUAAAGCCCUUUUGUUGGGAAAGAAAAGCAGCAGGUUAAUACCCCGCUGUUCUGACGGUACCCAAAGAAUAAGCACCGGCUAACUUCGUG
rnacentral:rRNA from 1 species